rnacentral:rRNA from 1 species
GUGUCAGCAGCCGCGGUAAUACGUAGGGGGCAAGCGUUGUCCGGAUUUAUUGGGCGUAAAGCGCUCGCAGGUGGUUCGUUGCGUCGUGCGUGAAAGACCCCGGCUCAACUGGGGAGGGUCGUGCGAUACGGGCGAACUGGAGGCCAGUAGGGGGAUGCGGAAUUCCGGGUGUAGUGGUGGAAUGCGUAGAGAUCCGGAGGAACACCAGCGGCGAAGGCGGCAUCCUGGACUGGUCCUGACACUCAGGAGCGAAAGCGUGGGGAGCGAUCCGGAUUAGAUACCCCCGUAGUCC